rnacentral:ncRNA from 2 species
AAAAUUCUUCGGGGCAGGGUGAAAUUCCCUACCGGCGGUAAAGUCCGCGACCUGCUUUUUACAUAAAACGAUGUGUGAAAGGCGGCUGAUAUGGUGCGAUUCCAUAACCGACAGUAAAGUCUGGAUGAGAGAAGAACGGU